UGACCCCACAGUCUAGCAGAUAUUCAGCAGAUGUGUCAGACACCCCCCCCUUCUUUCCCAAACUGUCUGCGGUCUAUAAAUAUCCGGGGUGGUUUUGGUGUGGGGAAUGUCCGGCUGAGUGGGCAAAAGUGAAGUAACCUACCCCCUCAAAGUAUUUGGACACUCAAGUCACACUUAAUUUGUGAAUUUAAUGGAAUUACAUUACAAAAUAUCAAGCCAGUGUCAUCUGCAAACAUGAUUCUAGAGCUUUUAUCAGAACUUAUCACAUCCCUGAUGUCACUGUGGUUUUUAGUGGAUGUAUGAGCGACAUCUCUUGUCUUCUCUGAUGACGUGUUUUCUGAUGCAAGGGUGGGACAACCUGUCGCUCAAAUGAAAUUACAGCAAUAGCAAACCACAACCGUCCAACAAUCCAAUCGAUUCCUGAUGGACAAAAUCAAGUCCCAUCCUCCUUUUUUUUUUUUUCUCGAUAAGACAUUUUACUCGGAUAUACGUCACAAUAGGGAAGAAAAGAAAAGACUACUGCAACUUCCAUUUCAUGCUGACUUUAAUUCUAAACAUUAUAUCAAUUUAAUCAUUUCAUACUUUUUUUUUUUUAUAUAUAAAUAUUUUGGUUAAAAAAUCUUAGUUUAAAAUGUAUGCAUUUGCCUGGAUAUUUUUAAAAUUCAUAAUAUUUUUGGGCCAUUGUAUGUGUAACUCUUAAUUGGUGAAUGAAUGAAGAAAUAUGAAUCUCUGUUUUCUUUCAGAGAAAAUGAAGCCAGUUUUAAAAACAUUGAUUUUUAAUUAAUUUUUGUUACAUAUUUAUGGCAAUUUAAGCAUUUGGGUACUCCACCCAAAUUCUCAUUAUUGUAAUGUGAAAAUUAUUAUAUAUUAUUAGCACCAUUUACCAGUGUAAUUUUAGUAUUUUAUUUCAAAUAACAAAAAAGAUUUGUAAUAUUUUUAGUUUCAGUUAACAAUAACAACACUGGUAUUUAGAUAUAUCAUAGUAUUUCAUGUACUGCCUACAUACUGAUUUAAAUGUUUAACAGUUAUAUUACUUUUUUUUUAUUGUGGCAGUCAAAAAUUACUAUUACAGUAACGAUAAUCGCUAUUGAGAAUAAUGGGCAAUACAAAAAUUUCAAAGACAAAGUGUAGACAUUAUUUGAAGGGAGAAAAUCUUUUCAUCCUCUUCUUAUUGACUUUCAUGUGAAAUGUCACCUGGACAUGUUUUUGUGACAUUCUGGCCAAUGUUCUAACUCUAAAUAAAGUAAAAGAACACAUAGGCAACUAGCUGUGCGAAUAGACAAAACAAAGAUAUGUUUAUGUCUCAAAAACAAAGGACAUGCCGCUUAAUUCAGUCGUGUUUACAAAGAUGAAACGUUUACACCAUUUAACUGUUGUCGUUUUUAAGAACUGUUUGUCAGACAUGAGUGCUAAAAUUGGCCUUGUUAUGACUGAACUUGAAAGAGAUGCAGGUUUUGCUUUAGCGCCCUCUGGCGGCAUCUGGGUUCAUGGCACCACCGCAAUGCUUUAACGUGGGAAGCAUGACCUGUGUUUGUGUCCUACUUUCCCCUGUGACCUCUCACUGACGGUGUGAUGGUUUGAAGUGUUCCAGGACGAGUUGCGGUAACAGAUAUGUGUGAGUGCGUGGCUGUGAGGAUAUUUACAACGAUAAGACAAUCUGUGGUGAGACGAGCUUUCCCCGUGCGAGCCGGUCACAGUAAGGUCAGACAGAUAAGAAGAGUUUAUGACAACCUCUGAAUUAAAAAAAAUAAAUAAAUAAAUGUUACUGGGGUGCCAUUUCAAUGUUAUAACUAUGAGUCUUAAAACACCUACACUUUAUACUGUUUUGCACGACUUUGUCAGCCAGAUAAAAAUAAGUCUGAUAAGUAAGACACAUGAUUUAUGGUAUCAUUAUUAACAUCCAUAGCACAAACAAUUACAUGCCAAUGAUUAGUAAUUGUGCAGUAAUUGUGUAGUCAUCUUUUAAUUCCCCAUUAUGUUCAUUAGUGAAUCAUUACUGUAAUAGUCAUUUUUAAUACUUAAAUACAAUUUUUAAAUAUUUAAAUCAGUAUACAGGCUGUACAAGAAAUACUAUAAUGAUGUAUAAUAACAGUGUUGUUAUUGCUAAUUAAAAACUAUCAGAAAUAAUUUUCGUUAAUUGAAAUAAUAAUAAAAUAUAAAUAAAAAUAUUAGAUGAAACUUAAAAAAAAUAGUUGCUCUGACAACUAUCUCAAAUAACAGUUUAAGUUAUUAAAAUAUUAAAAAUAUUAACAUAUUAAUAUAAAAAAUAAUAUUUAAUAGAAAUAUUAAAAUAUAAAAAAACUAAAAUUAAAAUAAAAACUGAAAAUAUAAAAAUAAAAGCUAAUUUAAAUAUUAAUCAAAAAUAGUAUAUAAAUAAUUUUUUAGUUACCCAAAACUAAUUAACCUUUCUUACAAUAUCACCUCAUGCCACAGACGACUCUAUUCAAUGCUUGUCAGUGUCUUUAGAGAUGACUCAUAGCGUCUCUUGCUGGAGGCCAAGCUUCUUACAGCUGAGACACAGACACAUCAGUCUGGCUCCGUCACAACACCUGUGAUUGCUCAGGUGGAAGUCUAAAUCACACUGCCGUCAGCUAUCACAUCAGCAGAGAUCAGCAUCACAGUUAGACCAAGUCUAGCCAAGUAAAUGUGCCUUAUAUUCGUGGAAGCAGGCAGGAACUUUAGAUUUAUUGCACUAUGUAUUUGGACAAUAUAAGAUGGGAAUAAGAAAAAUUAAACUAACUUAAGCAGGAUAACUUCCUCGCAGCAGGAUCACUUCUACAAACACACAAACUUGUACAGAUACACAGUGAGAACCUUCCAUUGACUGCUAAUGUUUUUAUAUUACGUUAUACUGAUUAUAAUACAACAAGUAAUAAAAUCAUGUUAAAUUUAGAGUAAACUGGAUGUAAAAAAUAGUGAUAAUGUUUCAGGCAUUACAGGAUGUAAAUUUGAUGCUGUCUACAGUUCAUAAUAUAUUUCAUUUUAUAUUGUGCACUGUAAAAAGUUUGUAAUUUGUACAGAUGAUUUUUUAAAUAAACACUACAGUAUGUUAAUUGGUUAACUGUAAGUUAUCUUACUGCAAGUGGUUUAACACUGCAUUAUAUUUGUAAUUUUAUUGUAAAAUACAAUCAUAUUUAUGGUUUUGGGACUUCAAGUAGCUUGGUGUAUUAACAUUAUGAACUUAAUGAAAUAUACGCUUGAAAGUUGUAACAUAUACAGACAUCAACAUUCCAUUCUGGACCUGAAACAUUGUCACGGUAUUUUUACACUGAAUUUACACACAACAAUAACAAAACACAAAUGACAAUAAAAUACUACAAUAUGCUUUAGGUAAAUAAAUGUAACAUAAAACACUCCAAGUACAUAACUGACAAAUCUGUAUGUAUAACUAUUUUUAUAACUAAAACUAAUAAACUAUUCUCAAACUAAACUCUAACUAUAAAUAUAAAAGUAAUGAAAAUAUGUAGAUAAAACAUAAUCAAACAUGAUGUGUCAAUCUUUUGGGAACUUCCUUUUACAGUUUUUACCAUAUAAAUUAUAAUGUGACUUACUUUUUACUUACAAAAAACAUUUUACUCUAUAAGUGCAUAUAUUGUUUAGAGAUAUAUAUCAAUUUUCACCCUAGAUAAGGUACGUUACACUUACAUAUAUCAUUAGUGUAAUAUUUUGAAGUAUAAUUACAUGUAUGUUCCAUUAAUUCUACAGUAAUAUAUUCACAGAAUUUAGUAAACAAAUUUUACUUAUAAUCAACACUUUUAAACAAUUUAACAAUUAACAUUUUUAACAGUAGCAUUUUUACAUUAUUUUUUCAGUUAAAAAUAUAUUUUUAGAUUUUAAUUAAAAACAUUAUUUGGGCCUUUUAUGAACCUUUUGAUUGAUAAAGAGUACUCAAGUUUAUGUUGAGGUUUUACUGCGUUUGUAAGGCCAUUUUCCACAAUUUGGCAACAAAAAUAGAGAAACACGCAUGCAAUAAUGUGAAACAUAGCUAUCUAAAUACUGAUUGACAUAAUUUGUCUCAAUACAACCCAUACCCCUAAAAGUCUGUUUUGUUGUUGUUGUUGUUGUUGUUUUUAGAAUAAAAAAACAAAAACAAAAAAACAUUGCUUUCGGGAUGUCCCCAAAGGGAGGUUUUGUCAAAUUUAACUAACUUCCUGAGACAACUUUGUCCCGAAAGUAUAGCUGAAUAAACACACACACUGAAGUACUACACAUGAAUAGGCAACAGUAUUGAUUAGGAGUGAUUAGAGUAGCUGCAGUCAGCAUUAACUGAUGUAAUCCUCAUUAGUCCUCUCUCUCUCUCUAUAACUAGACUAUCAACUAUGGUAAUACCCCAAAAUGAGCUUCUAAAGAGUAGAAAGGAAGAAAGGCCAGACACACAGGAAUAAAUCUGACAGGAACAAACCAAUACAGGUUCUUGUCAGUUUGUGCCGAGACUGCCAAGUUUGUUUGUGUGUGUGCGUUUACCUGAGGAUGGGAGAUAUUGAUAGGCUUUAAAGUCAUGGGUGGUGAGUGGCCAUGCCCCUGGGAGCUAUGCAGUCUCUCACUGCUAGUGUGAUGAAGUGUUUACAUGAAGGGAUCACCCUGAGGGGGCGGUAUUCAUUAACCAGACUUACAGACUCAGACUAUUGACUUCCCGCUCUAGACUGAACCUCUCUCUCUCUCUCUCUCUCUCUCACACACACGCACUUUUACCUUUAACACACUUUCCACAACUUCUGUUUGAGUAGCUGCUCUUGAACUUGGACUUUUGUUAUUGAGCUCUGUUUCCACUUAGAGCUCCACAGCACCUCAUUUUAUUCAUUUACAGACUUUACAGACCAUACCUAAACUACAGCUCUAGGGAGUCUUUAAUGCAUGAGCAAUAAGAAAAAAAGGGAGACAAAAUUUUUACAUGUUGAGGAAACUAUGAGUUGUACUUGCUGUUGAAAAACUGUCAACCUGAAAUGACGUUCAGAACCCAUUUUACUUCCAUAAUCUUAUGUUCUUCAUAGUGAAACAGGAAAAAUGUAGGGUGGGACUUGAUUUUACCCAUCCAUCUAAUCCAUCUGUCUGUCUGCAUAUACACAUCUAUCUAUGUAUCUUAUGUAUCUUAUGUAUGUAUGCAUCUAUCUAUCUAUCUAUCUAUCUAUCUAUCUAUCUAUCUAUCAGAGGUCCCGUUAACCAAAAAAAUUCCGUCAUUGACUGAAUUUUUUUUAGCAGUGACGGAAAAAUCUGAAGGCUAUCUGAAGAAUAAAAUUAAAACUGUCACGAGAAGUCGUCUGUCCGAGCCGAGGCAAAGACCCAAAAUCUAAUGACAAUGGUCUCUGCAUCAAUCUCCCUUGAUGUGUUUAUCAUGUUAUAAUAAAAUUAUAAAUAAAACUUCAUAAUUACAUAUGCCUAAUUAUAUUUCUACUCCAAUUUAAAAAAAAUAUAUAUAUAUAAACAUUUAAAUGGUGGCUGUCAUAAAAACUUGACUGACUUAUUCAAAUAUACAUUAAAGGUAUAGUUCACCCAAAAAUGAAAAUUAUUCCAUGAUCACCGAAUGGCUUUUCUAAGGUAAAUGUAACAUUACAUGGCAUAUGGUUUAAAAGCAGUUUUGUUGACAUCUUUCCUUGGAUGAAACACUGAUUGAGCGAUUACACAUAUGGACAUAUGGAUUUCGGUAAGUUGUACUGUAUCUUUCAACAUACCUUCUGAUGUUCAUUCAUGUUUAUUUUGUGCUGUAACUAGUAGUAAAAAGUAAUAGUUGAUCCGUUCACAUACUUCGCUUGAUCUGAAGCGGAAACACCGAUCUGUAUUAUCUGAAUUUCGUAAUAAAAUGGACAGAAUUUAAAAUCUGAGACUUUUUUUUCAUAUCAAAAGUAUCAAAGCACAAAGCUUAUUGUGAUUUAUUGGAUGGGAGGCACGCUAAAAUGUUCUGUUCAUUCAUCAAGUGAAAACAGCACAGACCAAAAGAUCGAUUCUUGGGAUUUAAGAAUCCAUAUCAAUUUAAGAAUCGACAUCCAUCCAUCCGGCCUUUAAAACUUUUGAGUUUUUUUUUUAAACUUUCUUGCAAGUCAGCAUUUAAGUUUGUAUUGACAAACUUUCCUUUUCUAUUUAAAAAUGUGUGGAUUUGAAUUGCAUUCCAUUUUAAUUCUACCUCAUGUUUGAACUGCAAUUCCACAUCCAGUGUGCUACCUGAAUAUAAAAGGCAUUCUCAGUUCAACUCUAAAUGGUGCACAACCCUGUAAGCUUUGUAUGCAGUAUAUGCAUAUUUGUUUUCCUUUGCUCAUCCCAGAGAAAAACCCAAACACUCAGAGCAAGACAAAAUAUUACACAACUUCCUAGAAGAGUGGAGGUUAACAAAAUGGGGGAAACCACAAGACGUAAGCGUAAAACGUAAGGCUUAUGGUAUCUGAAGACACAACACUACACACAGACAGGUAUAUAUAAAACAUUUCACGAACUACUGCCAUACUUCGUCAUGGUUUUAGAAUAAUUCUCAGUCCAAAUGGCUGCAGCGUUCUCCUGCUUUUUCUCAUUCCUCACAGGACACUCAUGGUAAGUAAAACUAUUCAUAAAAAACCCACACACAAUCCACCAGGGGAAACAUAUGCCCAGGUUUGUCCUUACUGACUGUCUCGCCUGGCUUUUAGCAACCUUUAGAGUCUCUGCUACACAACAGUGACCUCAGAUCAGGACACAUCUCCUUGUUUGUCAUUUCUUCUGCACUAAAGAUUGGGGCAGAAGAAGAGAGAACAGAAUGAACCUUAUUGAGACUUUCUAUUAAGCUCAUUGUGAGCCAUUUCAAUCUUUUUUUAGUGAACCGAUACAUCAAACCAAAUACAUUUCAAUUUAAAUUGGGAUUUUUCUAAGAGAAACUAGGCAAAAAAUACAAUACAAAUACAGUAUCUUUAUGGACCCUAGGGGAGUGAAUCUUUGGGUAGACAGUGAAUCGCUUUAUUUUGAUUCACAAUUCAAAAGGUUUUGAUUUGAUUCAAGAUUUUUUUUUUUUUUUUUUUUUUUUGCAAAUUCAAAAUAAUUUAAUACACAAAAUUCAAUGUGAUUUUGAUUAAUGAUUCGAUUCUGUAUUGUUUUAAAUGCAUUUAUAAGAUUAUUUAAAAGCUGAUAGUGCUGGAGUUUCUGAUGAUUUAGUGCUUAAAUCAAGUCGUUACUAGGGCUGCGAAUCUUUUGGAAUCUCACAAUUCGAUUAAAAUGGAUUCUUGGGGUCAUGAUUCGAUUCAAAUUGAUUCUUGGUACAGUUUUACCAUGUCUAUUCAUUAUAUUGUGUUUUAAGGGGCUUGUUUUGCUUUUUCUUAUAUAUCUGGCAACCCUUCACUGGAGCUUUAAUGAAGACAGGGAAGAGUUCAGAAGAGAAUAGAAGGGGAACAGCAGUAUGCAAACUGCAGCUACUGUUAGUGGAGUUAUUUAAUAAAGUAGUUUAAAUUGCACAUACCUUAUAACCACAUUAUUAUUUUACUCAAGCCCAGUGGAGACUGAGACACCAUCGCUGCUCAGCCUUUCAUAUUCACCUCUCACGGCAUAAGCACGCACACAUCUUUUGCAUCAGCAAAAUGUGUGAUUAUCCGCUGGUUCUGACGAUUGGCCGAUCAUUUGGACUGGAGUUAGAAAAAUAUAAUACGCGCUGUUGUAUUCUCAAUAUUUAGUGAUUUAGCCUCAGAUACAGAAUAUGUUCAACUGCUUUUACAAGCAGGUAUUGUUCGUUACCAUGGCAACCGCUUGCGCGUCCACGUUGGUUGAACGCGCUUCUCAUUUGUAAAAAGUACAAAAAAAGCUUGACAUGUACCAGACUGCCAAGUAAGCUUCAUGUCAAGUAAGCUUCAGCUGUUUGGGAGAAAGAUUCACAGUUUCAAACAUCCUUUGAUUACUUUGUGCAACAAGUUAAAGAGGUGUUCGAAUAUCCAGCUGGGGGUAAAGAGGUUUCUGUUCAGCUGCUUCACUCAUGCCAGGGCCAUCGAUCAGCAGCUGAGUAUGCCAUCACAUUCAGAACUCUAGCGCUCAGAGCAGCUGGAACUAUAUGGCCUUGAAAACUGUUUUCCAAGAGGGGCUUAACCACAAGCUACAGGCCGAGCUUGCAUGCAAAGGUGAGGAUGCUACUCUUUCUGAAUUCAUAAACAUUCUGAACACUCAAGUUUACAAGUGAGUACUACAAAUUUCACCUCUCCUAUUCAACAUAGUUUUUCUCUGCCCUUUGAUAUCUCCUUCAAUGAGGCUUCCAAAGGCAUUACAGCGUUAGUGGAUUCAGGAGCAGCUGUUAAUUUGAUUCAUGCUGAUCUGGUUAAAGAACUCAACAUCCCUUCUGUUCCAUGUAUCCUUGCUAUCAACAUCACCGCUGUUAAUAAUGAACCCAUUGGCAAUGGCAUAACCCAUCAAACUGUUCCAGUUAGCCUGCAGAUUGGACUGUUUUUACACUGAAGUCAUUUCACUGUUUGUCAAUUACAUUCCCAUCCUGGGCCAUCCAUGGCUAGCUGUUCAUGAUCCAUCCAUCUCCUGGAGCCAUGGUGAGCUUACACAAUGGUCAAAUUAUUGUCAAGCCAAUUGUCUUCAUGUCACUGUUUCCAUACCAUAUCUCACUACUAGCAUUGAGAGCCCAGAGGUCUCCAAAGAAAUCAGGAUUCCAAAUGAGUACCAAGGAUUCAGUAAAACCAAGGCAAACCAGUUACCACCUCAUCGUCCAUGGGACUGCGCCAUUGAACUGUUACCUAACACAGCACAACCCUCUCUCAUGUCCUUAAACCCUAGCCAUGGAGAGCUACACUGAAGAGCCCCUAGCAUCUGGGUUCAUCUGACCCUCAACCUCACCAGCAGCAGCAGGUUUCUUUUUUUGGAAAAAAAGAUGACGGACUCCGUCCACGCAUUGACUACAGAGGUUUGAACACUGUAACAGUUAAAUACAGGUACCCACUUCCACUUGUCCCCUCAACACUGGAACAACUUUGUGAGGCAUGAAUUUACACAAAGAUAGACUCAAGGAAUGCUUAUAAGGAUCAGAGAAGGGGAUGAGUGGAAAACUGCAUUUAUCACCACUAGGGAGCACUAUGAGUAUCAGGACAUGUCCUAUGGUCUUGCCAAUGCACCAGCAGUGUUUCCAUCCUUAAUAAAUGAGAUCUUCAGAGACCCACUUAACCAAUGUGUCAUUGCUUAUAUUGACAUAGCAAAACUGAGCAUAUCAAGCACGUCAAGACGUCAAGUCCCUUUCACGCCUCCAUCAGCAUCAAGUGUACGUGAAAGCUGAAAAAUGCAAGUUUCACACCACCCAGACUACAUUUCUCAGCUAUAACAUCAUGGACACGUCAAAAAUUCAGGCAGUGGCCCAAGCCUCUACAGUCAAGGAGCUCCAACGAUUCCUGGGCUUUGCCGAUUUCUACCGCAUGUUUAUCCGAAAUUACAGUCUCAUUGCAGCUUUCUUUUCUAGAAAACUGAAUGCAGACGAACAAAACUAUGACGUGAUUAAAAAGGAUUUACUCUCCAUGAAGGGCACUUUAGAGGAGUGACGCCACUGGCUAGAGGAAGUUGUUCAUCCAUUUCAAGUAUUCACGGAUCACAAGAAUCUUGAAUAUAUCAAAAGAAGCCAACAGACUUAAUCCUUGCCAAACCCGCUGGCCAUUGUUUUUUACACGCUUCCAAUUCACCGUUACUUACUGCCCUGGCAGCAACAACAGCAAGACCGAUGCUCUCACUAGAAAGUAUGAUCCACCUUAUGCACAACCACAUAAUGAUUCCAUUCUACCACCAUCUGUCAUCAUUGCCCCUAUCAGGUGGGUCAUUAUGGAAGAAAUCCAGAGAGCACAACAGAUGGACCCUGCAACACCAGAAUGCCCACAGAGCAAAAACUAUGUACCUCAUACUACGUCAGAGAACCAUUCAGUGGAUACAUACCUCCAUCAGCACUGGACACCCAGGUAUUCACAGGACAAUGUCACUGGUACGCAACUCAUUCUGGUGGCUAUCAUUGACUCAUGAUGUAACUGCUUGUUAUGUAAAGUCAUGUCAAGUGUGUGCACAAUCCAAGACCCCCAAGAAGCAACCAUCCGGCUUGUUGCAACCAUUGCACAUUGCCUAAAGAGCAUGGUCCCACCUGCUUAUAGACCAUCACUGAUCUGCCCAACUCCAAUGGAUUCACCACAAUACUGGUAAUCACUGAUAGAUUCUUCAAGUCAUGCAGGUUGAUACCCAUGAAAGGUUUACCCACUGCAAUGGAGACUGCCAACACUUUGUUCCACCAAGUUCAUAGGGUGUACGGCCUGCCAGAAGACAUCGUCUCCAAUCGAGGACCCCAGUUUACCUCCAGAGUCUAGCAGGCCUUCUGCAAACAACUUGAUAUUAAUGUCAAUCUCACUUCAGGGUAUCAUCCACAGGCUAAUGGACACGUGGAGAGACUUAAUCAGGAGACCAGCAGAUAGCUCAGGUCCUAUUGCAGUCGAGAGCAAUAAAAGUAGAAUGAUUUCCUCCCAUGGGCUGAAUAUGCACAGACCUGCCUCACUCAUUCCUCAACUGGACUCAUUCCAUUCCAGUGCGUGCUGGGCUACCAACCUCCAAUGUUCCCUUGGUCAGGUGAACACUCUAUGGUGCCAGCGGUGGAUGACUAGAUCAGGUAUAGUGAGCGGGUAUGGGACAGUGUACACGUCAGGCUACACAAGCCAUAUGUGCCCAGAGGAUUCAGUUGAAUAAGCGAAGACGUCCCCACCCCGACUAUCAACCUGGUCAAAGGAUCUAGUUGUCCACACGUGACCUCAAGCUCCAGCUACCCUGCAGGAAGCUCAGCCCUAUGUAUGUGGGUCUUUUCAAAAAAUUAUGUCAGAUUAACCUUGUUACAUACUGUCUAGAGCUUCCGGCUCAUUAUCAAAUCUCUCCUUCCUUUCAUGUCUCCCUCCUGAAACCAGUCCACCCGGCAUCUGGCCCUGGUAUCAACGAAUCCUGAACCGCCACCUCCGUUGGAGAUUGAUGGAGAGCCGGCCUACAUAGUGAAAGAGAUCCUGGACACUAGGGGUAGAGGGGGCCAGAUGUAGUACCUGGUGGAAUGGGAGGGCUACGGAUCAGAGGAGAGAUCGUAGGUAGCCGUCAACGACUGAUCCACGACUUCUACCAAGCACACCCUGACCACCCAGCGCCAUGACCUAGAGGACGCCCCAGCCAUAGAACACAAAGUGCCAGUUCUACACUGCUCAUUUCCUGUUUGUCUCAUGAAUUUAAGCCAUGCCAUUUCCAUGUAUACUUUGCAAAGUAUUGCCAGUUUCACCGCUUUACCGAGCGUUUACCAUUGCCUGCGGUUCAUGUUCAUGUUGCUUGUUAUGACUAUUGUGCUUGUUUACUGGAUAUCAUCUCUUGGAUUACUGUUUUCUUUGUGUUUGCCUGGUUGGACUGUUACGUGUGUUUUAUUCUUUGGUCUGCCUUUCGACUACGUCUCUUUGCCUCAUGAUUCGGAUUUGUCUGCUCCGUUUAUUUUCAAUAAACUUCCACAUAUGGAUUCUAAACAUGCCUCCAUGUUGAGUCCAUCACAGUUUUCUAUCCUAAUAUAUUUUAAAAUGGAAUUUAUUCUUGUGAUAUCAAAGCUGAAUUUUCAGCAUCAUUACUCCAGUCUUCAGUGUUACAUUUUUCCAGGAUUUUUUUGAUGAGUAGAAAGUUAAAAAAAAAAAAAAAAAAAAAAAAAAAAAAAAAAAAAAACAGCAUUUCAUAUAAAUUUUUGUAAUAUUAAGUACAAGUCUUUACUGUCACUUUUGAUCAAUUUAAUGCAUCAUGUGUCCCUGCUGAAUAAAAGUUAAGAAAAAUAAAAAAUCUUACUGCCCCACAAAAUAUUGAAUGGUAUUCUAUUUAUUCUUGGGCUUUUGGAAAUAAAGUUUGCAUCUUUCUAACUGGAACCACGCAUAUGAUUAUUUUAUUAUUACCGUAUACUGAAAGCAAUCAUAAACUAUAUUGUUAAAUUCAUAAAGUGCAUCUGAUUUUGCAAACUGAUUAUACAAUUAAUCACAUAUAUAUGAAUGCAUCCAAAGCACAUGACCUUCUGUAAUGGCUACAUUCAGAAAAUAGACACUUCCACCUUAGCAAUAGCUUACAGAGAUCCCAAUCUUGUUUUAAUUACUACAAGAAAUCACAGACGUCCUAACUGUAAAUCAAACGUCAUUUAGAAGACUAAUCCCAUCUGAACAGUGCUUAUGGGAGAUGUCUGAUUUGUGGAUGACAGACCACACCCAGAGAUCAGCUGACAGCUGCAGGAACAUUCUCAUUUCUACCCCAGGAAAAACAGUCUCUCUCUUCCUUCAUUACAGAAGGAAUGGCGUACCGAUGACUUGUUUUCUCUCGUCACUCCUCAUUGCACAUAAACUGUGACGUUCCACUUGUUCUAUAUAAACUUUAUUCAAUUUAUGAAAGCAUUCGGUUUUAUCAUCCCAUGUGAGAUUAGAUAACUUCCAAACAGUCACAUGCUAAGCCUAAAAUCAGCAGUUUCAAGGCAGACUCUAGCUUUAAAAUCAAGUAUCUGCAGUCUGCCGUCCCUCCUGUUGCUGAUGCAGUGUCUCUGACUGUUUGGGGGUUUGCUGCAAAGAGAGAGAGGGAGGUAGUGUGCACUUCACCGUCGACACACUCACUUCCUUCCCCAAACACAUGAACACUCUGCGCACAACUGCCAGAGGGAGGGAGCAGAAAAAUAUUUAAGGGCCGACUCUACAGGACCGACAAACAACAGGCAGACAUCUUGAACACCAACGACAUAAGCACAAUGAAACAUGUUAUCAUCUAACAAUAUUUUUCAAAACCUCUCCCUACAUUAGAAGAGACAAAGACCGACUGCAAACGCAAAAGAGACAAUGAUUUUAUUUGAUAAUGCGGUUUUAGCUUCCCUUGAAUUCUGUGUCUCAUAUUGUCUUAUAUUUUUGGAUUAUUCUUUCUAGAGCACACAAAUCCUCUUCCUCUCUGCAGGCUGCACGGGUCAGGAUAUGAGUGUUUGUUUGUGCGCAGCAGACAGACAGAACACAGCGACAGUGCUUUUCAAUUCACUCCAAUUACAUCCCACAGACAGACUCAAUGCUUUGAUUCCUUUUGUGUGUCCAGGCGCCACACUGUCAGAAUAUUUCCACCUCCCAAAGUUCACUAUAGGAUAAUAUGGUAAAGACUGAACAUACAUUACAGAAAAUUGUCCACAGAUGCUCUCCUCAGCUCACACAAGGCAUGUUCUUGUGUUCCAUCUGCGCUAUUUUUUUCAAUUGUUAGUCUACUUACACAUGCGGUAGAUGUCUUUAGUUUUUUUUAUUUUGUUUUUUUAGCAUCUUGCGACAUGAGCACCACAUUAAGACACCUUGUCAAGUGUUAUCAACCAGCAGGUUGUUAAUGAGAGUUAAUGAGAGUUAAAACAGCUCUGAAAAUUAAAAUGUAGUACAGUUUAAAUUUAAUUAUUUUUGACCCACUUAAGCAGGAAUCUUUAUACAGUAGUGGCCAAAGUGACGUCUGGAGGCUAUAUUUGUUUUUAAUGACCCUACAAGUUUGAUUAAAUCAUCAAAACAUUUUUUAAAUAUUUUAAAUAUGAGGGAAGAACAAAACACUAAACUUGGUUAAGGUAUUUAUCUGACAAAAUUAUUAAAAAAUAAAUUAUUAUAAUUAGAAAAGGUUUUAUUUUACUAUAUAAAAAAUGCAUAGGAAAACAAAAGCUCACAGGAAAAAGCAUACAUUGACUACAACAUAAGCAGUUAUUAACAUUUUGCUGGUUCUCUCUUGUUUUUGCAUGUAUACAUAAUUUAUUUGUAUGACAGCCUGGCCAAAAAUUUCGCCUGCACAAUAUGGCAUAUUUCAUUGCAUUAUCACAAAUUAAACAAAUGACUCCAAGCACAACUAUGCAAUAUGCUUCCAAAAUCUUUAACAAAUUAAUAAUAAUAUUUGAACAAAGGGUGGUAAUUUUCCUAGGUCGGACAUCACUUACUACUGUAAGUAAUUUCAUAAUUACUGUUGUAGUUACUAUUGUCUUUUAAAUAUGUUAUAAAUGUAUUAUCAAAUGUACUGGUAAACUAAAAUAUACUUUAAUAUCAUUCUAUUGAAACUUUAUUUAAAUAUAUUUGUAAUUACAUAUUUGUAAAGAUGAAUUUUCAAAUGAGUACAUUUUAAAUAUAUAUUUACUCUAAAUGUGAUUUCAAAUAACACAAACCAGUUAAUUAUAAUUAUAAAAUUAUGUUGAUUUAGUACUUUUCACAUGCUUUAACUACAUGCUGAACUAUAUACUUGCUUAGCUUGGUGCUUGUCAUGUAUUCUUCUCGUUUCUCAACUGAUAAAGUUGGAAAAAAAAAAAAAAAAAAAACAAUCCCAAACUCCUGAAACAUAGGGUAAUUUUAGCUAAACAAGCAUGUGGAUACAUACAAAUCCACUGGAAAUAGUAUCCAUUUACAGAUUUAAUAGCCAUUUUUAUGGCAGGGUUGUUAUCAUUAAAAAAAUGUAAAAAUAAUAAUAAUAAUGUUUUGUUAACUUGAAGCCAUUUCUGAGCCAAUUGCUUGCCAUGUCUUGGUCACAAAGGCUGUCCAAGAACUAUCUGCCUGCCAUGUCACGGCCACGGAGGCAGUCCUUAAACUUUCUGAGACUAAUGUCAAGGUCAUAGAGGCUGUUCACAAACUUUUGAUGCCCCAUAUCACAGCCACGGAGGCCAUCCAAGAACUUAUUGUGCCCUAUGUCAUGGCCAGGAGGACUGCAGGUCUUUGCUCCACCAUGGCCCCCCCCUAUCCUCCGGGGCCAUUUGCUCAGCUGAGGUGGUCAUCUCAUCCACCAGCUCCACCCUGAUAGUAUUUGUCUUCGCUGGAUACACCAUGGCCACCUGUUCCUCCAUGGUGUAGGUGAUCCAGGCCCACCGCUACUCCACGGUCUAGGCAUGCCAUUGCUCCACAGUCCAGAUCCACCUCUGUUUCACGGUCUAGGCCUCCAAUUGCUCCAUUGUCCAUGCCCACCACUGCUCCACAGUCCAGGCCCGCCACUGCUCCACAGUCCAGGCCCGCCACUGCUCCACAGUCCUGAUCACUUUUGCUCCAACCCACCACCCUCCUGAUUUUGUUUGUGUUUCGGGUUUUGGGUGGGUGUGCCGUUAGGGCGUCUGGAGCCACCCUUUGAGUGGGUGGGGGCUGGGAGGGGAUACGUCAUGUUUGGUUUUGGGUUUUGAUUUCACUUUCAUGUUUUCGUGUCUUUUAUUUUGUAUAAUUCUCACAGUCAUGGUUCCAGUUUGUCAUGUGAUUCCGUGCCCUAACGUGAUCAGGUCAUGUUCUUCCCUAGUUUCAUGUGUCAUGUUCUGAUUGGUUCCCUUGUUUUAUGUGUCACAUUCUCAUUUGUUCAUUGUGUUCAUUGUUUUCAGGGGUGUCUUGUUUAGUCAUUAGUCUUGGUGUAUAUAUAGCCUUCCUGUUUCAUUGUUACUUGUCUAUCUUUGUUCCCUGUAAUUGCUCUUUGGUGAAUUUUGUUUUUCCAAGUCAAGUUUACAUUUAUGUUUAUGUUAUUUUCUUUUUUUAAUUUAUGUUUGUUUUGUUAUCUUUUUGAAAUAAAUUGCACAUAGGUUCAAAUUCAACUUGCCUACAGUGUUAUAGGACGUAGCGACAGAUCUUUUCUUCUGUAUUGUGACAUACAUUUCAUAUUUAAAGUGUACAAGAAUGGGAAUAUAGCUAUUCUCUGACCUCUGACCCCAGACACAUAUCACCACUGGAAUUCAACAGCAAAUAAACUGGUUGAGUGCAACGAGUACAAUAUCACAUGCAGCUCUGUAGGAAGGUCAUGUUGAGCAGGAAAAAGACCCGGACAAAUUGAGUCACUGUAGAUUUUCCACCUCAGCAGGCGUCAGCACCUAUCAUCCUCUCUCACCAAGACAAGCGCACAUAUAUCUCCAUCCCAAGUCCCUCGUCAGUCAAUAAUUAGCAAUUACAUACAUUUUUGUGGAGUAUAUGUACUCACUGACCAUCUGUCUGUUUUUAUUUGAUGUUUUUAUUUUUAAUGGGAUAGUUCACCCAAAAAUAAAUAUUCUGUCAUCAUUUAUUCACCCUCAUGUCAUUCAAACCUGUAUGAAUUUCGUUCUUCUGUGGAACAUAAAAUAUGAUAUUUUGAGAUAUUUCUCAUUGUUUUUUUGUCCAUACAAUAGAAGGCAAUUGUCACCAAAACUGGUCACCAACAUUGCAAAAUUGAACUAUAUUAUUGUACAUCCCUUUAUAUCAAGAUAAAUAAAUAAUAAGUAUAUCAAAUCUCAACUACUUGAUUGCUUGUACCAUUGCAAAAUGUAAACUAUAUUAGCGCUCAGCUCUAAUCUGAAAAAUGCAACUAUAAAGCAUGAAGAUAUUAUAGAUAUAAACAUUAUGAUUUUAUGUAAAGCUGCUUUGUAACAAUGUGUAUUGUGAUUUGACUUGAUCAUUCUGUGUUCUACAGAUGAAAGUUUGGAACGACAUGAGGGUGAGUAAAUGAUGAUAAAACAUACAUUUUUGGAUGACAUAUCUCAAGACAAAAUGUCAGGGAUUAUGUUUAACAAUGUUGCUUAACAAUCAUUUUACAUUGUCUGUUUCCACCUUGUGGCUCUUCGGUGAACCAAAAACCCCUGUGAUAUUGAGAGCCACAUCCUUCUCCUGUCUGUCUGAUGAGCGUAUGAUAACAAACAUUUAUUUUCUGCCUGAAAAUGCUUUCAUUUUCUCCAAUCACAGAGUAUGUAUGUGUAUAAGAGUGCAUGUGUGUGUGUAUGUGGGGGUGGGGUAGUGUGAAGACCCCUCUUGUACAGGGCCCCCCUGACUCACCCAGACACCAAGCGUCUAGACCAUAUUCAUGAUCCAUCUGUCUGACUGAACGCUACACUACCGCCGUGGCCAUUAGAAUUGAAAUAAUUUUUCUGUUCCCCCCACCCCUGUCUGUUCAUCUCUAGUUUUGCCUCCUCUGCGUCUCUCUCGCUUGCUGUCUCUUUCUCGAUGCGAAAAUCAGCAGUCCUCAACCUCUGAAAAUUCAAUCACAGCGCACACAGGUGUCUCUAAAAUAGCAGCCAGCCGCAGACGCUUUCAUUAACAUGCGGCCCAGACUGCUAAAUAUUUUAAGUGCAGCAGUUGGACUUGUUCCAUCGGUAAAGAGUGGCCCUUGUUCAGCAGACAGCAAGGGAAAAAAUAGAAAAAAAAGCAUGUUAAAUAAAGCACACAAAACCAAACGAUCCCAACGUGGGGAGUGCUCAUGAAGAGAUGGCUGCUGUGGAAGGAGAAAGAGGGAGGAAAUGGACACAGCCAAUAAAAGCUGAGCUGUAAAAAAAAAAA